rnacentral:rRNA from 1 species
AGUAAAAGUCGUAACAAGGUCUCCGUUGGUGAACCAGCGGAGGGAUCAUUACAGAGUUAUCCAACUCCCAAACCCAUGUGAACUUAUCUCUUUGUUGCCGCGGCGCAAGCUACCCGGGACCUCGCGCCCCGGGGGGCCCGCCGGCGGACAAACCAAACUCUGUUAUCUUCGUUGAUUAUCUGAGUGUCUUAUUUAAUAAGUCAAAACUUUCAACAACGGAUCUCUUGGUCCUGGCAUCGAUGAAGAGCGCAGCGAAAUGCGAUAAGUAAUGUGAAUUGCAGAAUUCAGUGAAUCAUCGAAUCUUUGAACGCACAUUGCGCCCAUUAGUAUUCUAGUGGGCAUGCCUGUUCGAGCGUCAUUUCAACCCCUAAGCACAGCUUAUUGUUGGGACUCUACGGCUUCGUAGUUCCCCAAAGACAUUGGCGGAGUGGCAGCAGUCCUCUGAGCGUAGUAAUUCUUUAUCUCGCUUUUGUUAGGCGCUGCCCCCCCGGCCGUAAAACCCCCAAUUUUUUCUGGUUGACCUCGGAUCAGGUAGGAAUACCCGCUGAACUUAAGCAUAUCAAUAAGCGGAGGAAAAGAAACCAACAGGGAUUGCCCCAGUAACG